rnacentral:rRNA from 1 species
CCUACGGGAGGCAGCAGUGGGGAAUAUUGCACAAUGUGGGAAACCCUGAUGCAGCGACGCCGCGUGAGUGAAGAAGUAAUUCGUUACGUAAAGCUCUAUCAGCAGGGAAGACACACUGACCUUACGGUCAGCAGACGGUACCUGAGUAAGAAGCCCCGGCUAACUACGUGCCAGCAGCCGCGGGAAUACGUAGGGGGCAACCGUUAUCCGGAUUUACUGGGGUUAAAGGUAGCGUAGACGGUGCGCCACGUCUGGAGUGAACUUCCGCAGCUUAACUGGGGAACUGCUUUGGACACUGGCGAACUAGAGUGCGGGAGGGGUAAGCGGAAUUCCUAGUGAAGCGGUGAAAUGCGUAGAUAUUAGGAGGAACACCGGUGGCGAAGGCGGCUUACUGGACCGUAACUGACGUUGAGGCUCGAAAGCGUGGGGAGCAAACAGGAUUAGAGACCCUUGUAGUC